GUUAGAAUAUUAUUCCAAAUUCAUAAUUCGGCAAUUCAUGGCAAGCUUGCAAAACAUAUUUUGAUUUAUGAUUAAUCAUAAUAAUUAGGUAUGAAUGAAUGACCUUGAUCAAUUGAUAUGACAUAAUUCUUCUAUCCAAAACUGAGCAUUACUGGUCAACCGAUUUGAGAAUGACAUAAGAUUUGACUGUCAGGCAGUUGUUCUACUAUGUCCAAAGUUGACAUGAGUUCAGGAGGUCAGCAGGCUAACAGAUAAGUAUACACAUAGAGUUCAUGUGUCAGAGCUGACAUGUUUUUACAUGCUUUAAAGUUAAAAUCACAGAUUAUCCAUAACUUAGCUAUUUAUUUGAUAUUGUUGUUUAAUUAUUUAGAGCUAGUUUAAGUGAAGUCUUAGUCAUACUGAUAUGUAUUAGUAUAUAGUUACUUAAUGAAGUUAUAGCUUUAUAGCUGAUAAUAUAUGUUCUAUGACAUUGCAUCAUCAAGCACACUACUCUAAGUAUAGAGUGUCACAUGUGUGCCUGUCAAUCAAACUCCAUACGACUCUGUGCUAAGAUCUUCAUAUUGCUGAACCUAGCAGAUAUUAAUAUUUGCCAUACAAGGGUCUAAGCCUGGGCCGUAUGAGGUCAUGACGUUCACUUGUAACAUAUAUUUAAGCUUUGCUUUAAAGAAGGCUGAACACAUUUGCACCACACACUUGCAUGACACACUGAUACACACUUAAACUAAGACACACUAAUUCACACCCUCUUUGAAAGACAACACUGACAUAUAGACUAGGAGAACAGCUGAAGCCAGAAGUCAAACGUCAUUUCCUGUUUCUUCCGGCAUCACUUUGGAAAAUCUCAGAAGACAACAUGCCUGAGGCUGCACACAUCCUUUCAUAAGCUUGCUACAAUACUAUCGAUCCAAUUCCAGAUAUUUUCAUCUACGCUAAACUGAACUUUAUACUAUUUUUCAUUGUGUUUAUGAUGCCACCUGUGUGACAAUAAACUCACACGUUAUUUUCAAAUCAACCUGACUAUGAAUGAUCUUCAUUCAGAUACGCCCUUGAAGCUAUAAGAAUAUUAGUUAUUAAUUUUACAUUCUUACAGUGGCGAGCCAAAGAAAGUACUGUCUUAUCUCUAUUUUUACGGAAAUCUCGACCCUUGAUGAGGGGGGGAGAGAUUAGCGCAGUUUUUGCGAAUAUUCAAGUCUCGAGAAAAAAGACGGUUCAGAACCUAUCAAGCAAGAGGCGUUUGUGUCGCGUCAGAUGUGGACAACAGUCCAGUAACAGACGGUUGAUGACGAGAAAUCCUUCUAAUAACGAUAUGGCAUCUAAAAUCAAACAAAUAUGAAGGAUAACAAGCUUCUAUAAAGAGCAAAGAGAAAUUCAAAGUUAAAGAAGAGAUCCUUUUUGGAAGAAUAUUUGACAAAAGAUUUAUAUUUCAUAUUUAUGAACUAUUUUAUCUUAUUCAUCAAGGUUUUUCUAACGGAACUUGAAGAAGACAUUUUAAAGACAUUUCAUGAAGAAACAUUAAUCGGAAGGAACAUUAUCUAUCUACUAUAGAUAAACAAUUUAGGACUGAAACAUUUGUCCACAUAUACAUAUACAUUUUUUGAUUAUCCAAUUAUUAUGAUAUUAAUGUUCACAUGAAGUUAGGAUUAUUAUUUUUAUUUAUUUUUAUUUAUUCACAUAUUGAAUGUUAGCACACUCAUUCUAGUUAAUAGAACAUUUUUUGUUCAUAACUUAAGAAAGAUAUCAUUAAUAGAACUAUGGAAAGUUAUGAAAGUUUUAGAGUAUAAAGUAUAUUUCCAAAGAGCUAAAAUAUUAUUUGAGCACAUAUAUGGAAAUAUAUUAUUGCAUUAUUUACUUAUUUUAAUAAUAAUAAUUUUCAUUAUUAUUAUUAUUGUUAAUAUUAAUAAUUAUUGAUAUUAGUCAUCAUUAUGUUAUACAUUUUUAAAAUCUAUACCAUUAUUUCUGGUAAGAUUUUGAUUAGAUAGAUCUAAGAAGAGUUAAAAGUAAA